GGCGGGAUGCCAGAGUGGACCAAUGGGGUGGUCUCGAAAACCACUUACCCCUAGUGGGUAGCGGAGGUUCGAAUCCUCCUCCCGCCGCAA
rnacentral:tRNA from 1 species